CCUACGGGAGGCAGCAGUGGGGAAUAUUGCGCAAUGGGCGAAAGCCUGACGCAGCGACGCCGCGUGAGGGAUGAAGGUCUUCGGAUCGUUAACCUCUGUCAGCAGGGAAGCACGGUCACUGUGCUAAUCAGCAGUGAAUUGACGGUACCUGCAAAGGAAGCACCGGCUAACUCCGUGCCAGCAGCCGCGGUAAUACGGAGGGUGCGAGCGUUAAUUGGAAUUACUGGGCGUAAAGCGCUCGUAGGCGGUAUGUCAAGUCAAGGGUGAAAUCCCCGCGCUCAACGUGGGAACUGCCUUUGAAACUGGCAAACUGGAGUGUGUGAGAGGAUAGUGGAAUUCCAGGUGUAGGAGUGAAAUCCGUAGAUAUCUGGAGGAACAUCAGUGGCGAAGGCGACUAUCUGGCACAUAACUGACGCUGAGGAGCGAAAGCGUGGGUAGCAAACAGGAUUAGAUACCCCUGUAGUC
rnacentral:rRNA from 1 species